UGGGGAAUUUUGGACAAUGGGCGAAANCCUGAUCCAGCAAUGCCGCGUGUGUGAAGAAGGCCUUCGGGUUGUAAAGCACUUUUGUCCGGAAAGAAAUCCUUGGCUCUAAUACAGUCGGGGGAUGACGGUACCGGAAGAAUAAGCACCGGCUAACUACGUGCCAGCAGCCGCGGUAAUACGUAGGGUGCAAGCGUUAAUCGGAAUUACUGGGCGUAAAGCGUGCGCAGGCGGUUUGCUAAGACCGAUGUGAAAUCCCCGGGCUCAACCUGGGAACUGCAUUGGUGACUGGCAGGCUAGAGUAUGGCAGAGGGGGGUAGAAUUCCACGUGUAGCAGUGAAAUGCGUAGAGAUGUGGAGGAAUACCGAUGGCGAAGGCAGCCCCCUGGGCCAAUACUGACGCUCAUGCACGAAAGCGUGGGGAGCAAACAGGAUUAGAUACCCUGGUAGUCCACGCCCUAAACGAUGUCAACUAGUUGUUGGGGAUUCAUUCCUUAGUAACGUAGCUAACGCGUGAAGUUGACCGCCUGGGGAGUACGGUCGCAAGAUUAAAACUCAAAUGAAUUGACGGGGUCAUAGCUG
rnacentral:rRNA from 1 species